rnacentral:lncRNA from 1 species
CAUGCUCAUGGUAAUUAAGAAAAUGAUGAACUGACUGUUCCUAGAGCAAGUGGCAAAGGGCUAGUAAAAAAAUAUUUUAUAUUUAUAUACCAUGCUCAUGGUAAUUAAGAAAAUGAUGAACUGACCGUCCCUAGAGCAAGUGGCAAAGGGCUUGGUUGUUGGUACCUGAGGCCCAAGUUCGAAUUCUAGUUGAUUCAUAUUUUUUGCUAAGUUUAUUUCUAAAUAAAAUAAACGAAGCGGGUAGCGUGUUAUCUAUCUCUCAAAAAAAAAAGAAAAAGCGAAAGAAAAUGAUGAUAUAUAUAGAGUUAAGAGGUUUUAAUUGUUUUAU